GAUGGACGCUGGCGGCGUGCCUAAUACAUGCAAGUCGAGCGAACAGACGAGGAGCUUGCUCCUCUGGCGUUAGCGGCGGACGGGUGAGUAACACGUGGAUAACCUACCUAUAAGACUGGGAUAACUUCGGGAAACCGGAGCUAAUACCGGAUAAUAUAUUGAACCGCAUGGUUCAAUAGUGAAAGACGGUUUUGCUGUCACUUAUAGGUGGAUCCGCGCCGCAUUAGCUAGUUGGUAAGGUAACGGCUUACCAAGGCAACGAUGCGUAGCCGACCUGAGAGGGUGAUCGGCCACACUGGAACUGAGACACGGUCCAGACUCCUACGGGAGGCAGCAGUAGGGAAUCUUCCGCAAUGGGCGAAAGCUUGACGGAGCAACGCCGCGUGAGUGAUGAAGGUCUUCGGAUCGUAAAACUCUGUUAUUAGGGAAGAACAAAUGUGUAAGUAACUAUGCACGUCUUGACGGUACCUAAUCAGAAAGCCACGGCUAACUACGUG
rnacentral:rRNA from 1 species